CGCCUUCGUAGCUCAGUGGUAGAGCUGUCGCCUCUUAAGCGAUAGGUCGUUGGUUCGAAUCCAGCCGGGGCAC
rnacentral:tRNA from 1 species